rnacentral:rRNA from 1 species
AGCAGCCGCGGUAAUUCCAGCUCCAAUAGCGUAUAUUAAAGUUGUUGCAGUUAAAAAGCUCGUAGUUGAAUUUCGGGGUCAGUAGAUUGGUCGUGCCACUGGUAUGUACUGGUCUUACUGGCUCCUCCUUCCUGAUGAACCGUAAUGCCAUUAAUUUGGUGUUGCGGGGAGACUGGACUGUUACUUUGAAAAAAUUAGAGUGUUUAAAGCAGGCUAACGCUUGAAUACAUUAGCAUGGAAUAAUGGAAUAGGACGUUCGAUCUUAUUUUGUUGGUUUCUAGGAUUGGCGUAAUGAUUAAUAGGGAUAGUUGGGGGCAUUAGUAUUCAAUUGUCAGAGGUGAAAUUCUUGGAUUUAUUGAAGACUAACUACUGCGAAAGCAUUUGCCAAGGAUGUUUUCAUUAAUCAAGAACGAAAGUUAGGGGAUCGAAGACGAUCAGAUACCGUCGUAGUCUUAACCAUAAACUAUGCCGACUAGGGAUCGGAUGAUGUUUAAUUUUUUAAUGUACUCAUUCGGCGCCUUAAC